AAUCUAUGUACUAUGACCACCUUCUCAACCAGGGCCUUGAUUUUCAAAGAUCUCUUUGCGCUAAGAUAGACGUAAGUCAAUGUUAAUGUAUGGCACUUAUGACUAUCUUAUUGCUAAGAUAGCUUCGAA